rnacentral:rRNA from 1 species
GACGGAAGGUGCAAGCGUUGCUCGGAAUCACUGGGCGUAAAGGGUGCGUAGGCGGCUUGGUGGGUCUGGUGUGAAAGCCCCGGGCUCAGCCCGGGAAGGGCACUAGAAACUGCCGAGCUGGAGUGCCGGGGGGGAGAGUGGAAUUCCUGGUGUAGCGGUGAAAUGCGUAGAUAUCGAGAGGAACACCAGUGGCGAAGGCGAGUCCCUGGACAAAACCUGACACUGAGGCACGAAAGCUAGGGGAGCAAACAGG